GGGUGGUGUAAUUCUACCUGAUUCCUCCAGGGGCCUAUAACAGUUAGCCUCAUGGGAAGUUUGACGCUCUGCCCACUGUCCAGAGCAGCUGACGCUAUCCAAUAAUAGUACACCAUAACAAACAAAAUGCCAAACAAGUUGGGAAAAAUACCCAUUACAGCAUCCUUGCCUCAAACAUAUCCCUCUGUACAUCUCUUACAUCCCAGUGAUAUGAAUGUGAAAAAUCAAAUUAAGGGAAAAAAAUGUCACUGCUUCAAGGGAACACACCCAAAAAAAAAAAUCUGCAACUGCCAAAGUGCUUUAUAAGCAUUUACAGUUUGGUCACAAAAAAUGGGAAUU